CUUCAUUGAAGUUACCCUUCACCUAUUUCAAAAAUCCAUCUGUUAUACAUAUACCUUAAUUAUCCUAUAAAAUGCAGCAACAGAGAAAUAAUGCUCAUGUUACCACUGGCAAAUAACUCUAGAAAAGCUGAAAUUCUAGGAAAAUUCAUUUAAUCAGAUUCAUCUUCUAAUUUAAUCCAGUGUUUCAGCAAAGUAUAAAUACAGAUUCAUUUGUCUUCAUUUUCUAUUUUUGCUGACCUUCUAAAAAAUACUAAGUAAUGACAAAACUGCCCCAAAUCAACAGAACAUAGAACUUAAAGGAAUCAGAAGCCAAGAUCAUUUUAAAAAAACUUUAAAAUUCAAAUUUUUGAAUGCCAACUACAAUUUAUUUGGCUUCAAAACAGAAAUUCAGAUUAAGAUACAAAUAGCAAUAGUCAACAGUCUUUCCUAGCCUUGAACAAUAAAUUAUUAAUCAUUCUAAGAAGUCACAUUUUUUUAUACAUCAUAUUCAGAUUUGUUUUGAAUGCAACUAAAUUACAAACUGUUACUGAAACUUACUUUCAAUUAACCUUCUUCUAGGAAAUAAUACCACCUAUGUCAACUGAGAAGCAGACUGUGAAGUGAGAAUUAAGAGAUCACAGAGAGAUGUCUUGAACUGGAGAUAUAUCUGAAACACUACCAUUCUGUUGUGCAGAGGAAGACUGUUCAGGAAAUUGACUGGGCCGUGCACGUGCUGAACCAACCACUGUAAUUCUAAUGUACAGUAAAGGUUGCUAAUGAUAUACCAGGAAGAAUAAACUACAAAAAUCCUCCAAUGAAGAUCCCUCAUUUUGAAGAUGAAUAUAAAAAAUAAUCCAUGUAUAAGUGGUAACUAAUAACCUCUAAGUGGUGACUCUCAAUAUGAUUAAACUCAUGAGUUGA
rnacentral:lncRNA from 1 species